rnacentral:rRNA from 1 species
UACGUAGGGUGCGAGCGUUGUCCGGAAUUAUUGGGCGUAAAGGGCUCGUAGGCGGUUUGUCACGUCGGGUGUGAAAGCCCGGGGCUUAACCCCGGGUCUGCAUUCGAUACGGGCUAGCUAGAGUGUGGUAGGGGAGAUCGGAAUUCCUGGUGUAGCGGUGAAAUGCGCAGAUAUCAGGAGGAACACCGGUGGCGAAGGCGGAUCUCUGGGCCAUUACUGACGCUGAGGAGCGAAAGCGUGGGGAGCGAACAGG